AUUGAACGCUAGCGGCAUGCUUUACACAUGCAAGUCGAACGAGUGGCGGACGGGUGAGUAAUAUCUCGGAACGUGCCCGGUGGCGGGGGAUAACUACUCGAAACGGUGGCUAAUACCGCAUACCAUUAGAGCUGCCGAGAUCGGAUUAGCUAGUUGGUGGGGUAAUGGCUCACCAAGGCGACGAUCCCUAGCUGGUCUGAGAGGAUGACCAGCCACACUGGAACUGAGACACGGUCCAGACUCCUACGGGAGGCAGCAGUGGGGAAUAUUGCACAAUGGGCGCAAGCCUGAUGCAGCCAUGCCGCGUGUAUGAAGAAGGCCUUAGGGUUGUAAAGUACUUUCAGCCGGGAGGCGUUACCGACAGAAGAAGCACCGGCUAACUCCGUGCCAGCAGCCGCGGUAAUAC
rnacentral:rRNA from 1 species